GUCAAGGCAUCAUGAAGAGGCUAGUGGGCACUGUGCUGGGGCUUUUGUUUGCCCGGGUUUGCUGUGUGAGAGGGGUGGACGUGGCGCAGAGUCCCCCAGCCCUGACUCCACAGGAGGGAGCCACCUCUACACUGUGGUGUAAUUUCUCCACCUUGGCAGAGAGUGUGCAGUGGUACCUUCAGAGCCCUGGGGGCCACCUCAUCCACCUCAUUUACAUUCCUUCAGGGACAAAGCAGGAAGGAAGAUUAAAGGCCACGACAGUCCGCAAAGAACGCCGCAGCUCACUGCACAUUUCCUCUCCGCGGACCACAGACUCGGGCCCUUACUUCUGUGGUGCUCAGCACGGUGCUCCCCAGGCACCUGCCGCCUCGACACGAACCCUCCCGGGGCUCAGCCCCUCCUCCAGCCUCAGUCACACCGUGGGCCCCAUGGGGCAUUUGCAGUGCUUCUUACUGGCCUUCCAGAUGUGA